rnacentral:rRNA from 1 species
AACGCGAAGAACCUUACCAGGCCUUGACAUCCCUUGCAAAGUCUUAGAGAUAAGAUAGAGGUUAUCAAGGUGACAGGUGGUGCAUGGUUGUCGUCAUCUCGUGUCGUGAGAUGUUGGGUUAAGUCCCGCAACGAGCGCAACCCUUGUCUUCAGUUACCAUCAUUAAGUUGGGGACUCUGGAGAGACUGCCGGUGAUAAACCGGAGGAAGGUGGGGAUGACGUCAAAUCAUCAUGCCCCUUAUGGCCUGGGCUACACACGUACUACAAUGGCGUAUACAACAAGAUGCAAUACCGUAAGGUGGAGCUAAUCUAUUAAAAUACGUCUCAGUUCGGAUUGAGGUCUGCAACUCGACCUCAUGAAGUUGGAAUCGCUAGUAAUCGCAGAUCAGCAUGCUGCGGUGAAUACGUUCUCGGGUCUUGUACACACGC